GAGAGAGAGAGAAGGAGAGAGAGAGAGAAAGAGAGGUGUGGGGGUGAGCCGGACUGCAGUGAUUAUUCCUACACUAUGGCCAGAUUUUUUUUUUCUGCAGCAAUAAUCCCCCUCUCUAGCACUGCAGGACAUAGAGGAAAGACUAGCAAUGUGUGGAAUAUAUGAUGGACCAGCUUUUCGCUUUUUGCCUCAGAAUAAUGAUGCUAUGUUGUUAAGGUACAGUAAAAAAGGAAGAAUGAUAUAUGGUCUGCAGUCCUUCAGCCUUCCAGCUACCUCCACCCUAAUAAAGACCAAUCCAGUGGGUCAACAAGCAAUAGUUUAAAGAGAGUCAAAUUAUCAACAGGAUAAAAUGUAUCAUCACUGCUUCAUGGCAAGAAAAAGCAGGAAGGGCUUACUGAAGAGAACUACUGUAUACCCCAGGAGUUUCUGCUGAGAAUAUAGUUUUGUAAAUUGGAUUACCAGGGAUACAGCACUAUAAGCAGCAGAAACUCCACGUGCAAUGCUGGACUUCCUUGAAUUUUGUUCUGAGCUUCAGCCAGAAUACCAUGGACCUGGAGCACUUGGAAAUGAAGAGGGAUUAACAUGAGAACCUGGGCACUACCCCAAGGGAGAAAGCGCAGCAGGCAACGAAACAGUACACUGGCCUUGUUGAGCCUCAGCAUUUGAAGAUUAACGUUAACAAAAAGGCAUUAAGAGGAGACACUGCAAUUGAAAAAUUUUGGAUGUAACCGAAGCCACUGCAGAGUUUUUGAUGUCGCAGAUACUGCAUCAGGAACUGAUUGGAUAAUAAUCAGUCACCAUCAGUUCCUAAUGCAUUGCCUUCAGCAUCUAAACAAGCAUCUGUGAGUUUCUAACAUGAAUAGCUGUAAUAUUGUAAUGAGUAGAUAUUUUGCAAAAUGCCCACCCACCCAAAACUUGACAGCUCUGUCACAAAAUCAUAGUAUUAUGUAAGAGGGAAAGCCAAACUGUUCAAUGGGACACCUCGCUGCCUUUCAGAUCAUGGCAGUGCAUUAGAACUGGAUUGGGAGAA